rnacentral:rRNA from 1 species
AAUCGCCCGGAGAUGGAUUCUGAGACACGAAUCCAGACCCUACGGGGUGCAGCAGGCGCGGAAACUUCACACUGCGGGAAACCGCGAUGAGGGAACUCCAAGUGUUUGCACUAUGUGCAAUCUUUUCUUGACUUUUAAUAGGUCUUGGUAAUAAGGGGUGGGAAAGACCGGUGCCAGCCGCCGCGGUAAUACCGGCACCCCAAGUGGUCGUCGCUUUUAUUGGGCCUAAAACGUCCGUAGCCUGUUUGGUAAACCCGUGGGUAAAUCAACAUGCUCAACAUGUUGACUUCUGCGGAGACUGCCAGACUAGGGACCGGGAGAGGUGUGGGGUACUCAUGGGGUAGGGGUAAAAUCCUGUCAUCCCAUGAGGACCACCUGUUGCGAAGGCGCCACACUGGAACGGAUCCGACGGUCAGGGACGAAGCCUAGGGGCACGAACCGGAUUAGAUACCCGGGUAGUCCUAGGUGUAAACGCUGUGGACUUGGUGUUGGGGAUCCGACAUGGGUCCCCAGUGCCGCAGCGAAGGUGUUAAGUCCACUGCCUGGGGAGUACGGUCGCAAGGCUGAAACUUAAAGGAAUUGGCGGGGGAGCACUGCAACGGGAGGAGCGUGCGGUUUAAUUGGACUCAACGCCGGGA